rnacentral:tRNA from 1 species
UGGCAGGUAGCUUAAUAGCAAAGCCCUCGGCUGAUAACCGAGUAGAUGUAGGUGAAAACCUACUCUGCCAACCA